GACGAACGCUGGCGGCGUGCUUAACACAUGCAAGUCGAACGGAAAGGCCUGCUUUCCCUUGUGGAUUGCGGGUACUCGAGUGGCGAACGGGUGAGUAACACGUGAGUGAUCUGCCCCCAACUUGGGUAUAAGCCUGGGAAACUGGGUCUAAUUCCCGAUAGGACUGCAGGGUGGUGCCUGUGGUGGAAAACGAUUUUCUAGUGGUUGGGGAUGAGCUCGCGGCCUAUCAGCUUGUUGGUGGGGUAAUGGCCUACCAAGGCGGCGACGGGUAGCCGGGCUGAGAGGGUGGACGGCCACAGUGGGACUGAGAUACGGCCCAGACUCCUACGGGAGGCAGCAGUGGGGAAUAUUGCACAAUGGGCGGAAGCCUGAUGCAGCGACGCCGCGUGGGGGAUGACGGCCUUCGGGUUGUAAACUCCUUUCGGCCGCGAGGAAGCCACCUGGUUGGAAGGGUGGUGACGGUAGUGGUAGAAGAAGCACCGGCUAACUACGUG
rnacentral:rRNA from 1 species